AGUUGCACCUCUAUCAAGACUCGUACGAAAGUAAUUAACGAUAAUUGUAUAAAAAUCUAUCGUAAACAACAAUUUUCAAUUGAGAAAACCUGUUUAGUCUUACAUUAGAAGCAGCUCAAGACAACAUGAAAUCGUUUUUCGUAUUGAUUUUUGGAGUUUCUCUUGCACAUUUCGGUCAAUGUGCGGAAGAACCAACUUCCAGUCCUCCACUACCAGACCCUUCCGAAGACAUGCGUGUCCUAGACGACACAAUCGCCAAAUUCGGCCCUCCCCAAGACUACAAACUAAUGGGUUUUCCAGGCCCCGAAAUAGCUCUAGAUGAAGAAAAGUAUGUACACAAGAAUAACCUCGAGCUCAAAGGUUCAGGAAAUUAUACUUUGAAGACCCGUACGGUAACCCCGUAUUGGAGUUACAAUAGGCAUUACGAAGACGUGAAGAUGCCUCAAUCUUUUGAUCAACCACCAGACAUUAAAGGCCAAUUUUCUAAACAUUUCGGGCGAAAAAGUGGAGGAUUUUACAUUCGCACCAUUGGUUACAAAAUCGAUGAAAACGGUUACCGACAAUUUUUAUUAGAUCUUACUAAAGUCGAAACGACCUUAAAGAAAGUUUUUAGACCUUCACUGUACUAUUGCAGUGGUAAUACUAAUAACCUUGUCUUUAGUUUCCUUGGUCCAACGGGGACCGCAAAUGCGUCAACAACAGUAGUUACACCACUGACAGGCAAUGUGGUUGAAUAAUAAUAAUAAUAAAAUACUAAAUACUUUGUUUUUUGAAUCAAUUAAAUCGUUUAUACAAACAAGUGUUGAUUAUUUUUGGAUGUUUCCUUUGUUCAUUGGUUGAUAAAUUUUUUGAUGUUGAAAUAAAUGAUGUUCCUCAGUCUCUUGAGGUAACCAAUAUUUGUUAUUUUAUUUAGACAGAUUAUAAAAACAUCAAUGAUAAUAAUUUACUGUGAUUUUCUUAAUUUUGUAAGACGUAUAAACCAUACAUCAAAAUUCCCAAGUGCAUUAGGUAUUUCUAAAAAUAAAUCAAGGAUGUGAUAACUAAUUAAUAAAUGUAAAUUAUUACAUCGCAAUAAACAUUAUUCAUGGUGAAAUAUUCUCUAAAACCCAAUUUCAAAAAUGAUACAAAUAAGUAUAAUCAAAAUAUUGAGCAAAAAUGAAUAAAGUUUUAAUAUUUUUUUGUUUUGCUUGCGGUAGGACAUGUUUAAGCAAAAUUUAUUACAGCUAUUUGUAAGAAACACAGACUGUGCAUAGUCAAUUAAUAAUAAUUAUAUAAAAAUCCGACAGGUAAUUACUGCAGCAUGUUUAGUUUCCUAGCUGAAGCAGAACAACAACAACAUGAAACUGUUUUUUGUAAUCAUUGUCACUUCUUCCCUACAUCUCUCUCGAUGUGCCAAAGAGCCAGGAACCCAAUCUGUGACAAAAAACCCAGCCGAUGCCACUGAAGAUUUACGUGUCCUGAACGAAGCAAUAGCCAUGUACGGCCCACCACAGGACUACAAAAAACUGGGUUUUCCAGGCCCUAAAAUAGCCCUUGACAGUGAAAAAUACACGUACUUCAAUCAAUUACAAUAUGAAAAUGGAUCUGACAAUUAUAUUUUAAGGAUACGCACAAUUACCCCGAACUUUAGUUACCUUGGACAUUAUGAAGAGGUGAAAAUGCCCGACAACUUCACUCAGUUUCCCGAAAUUAAGGGCCAAGUUGGGGAACACUUUGCACGGAAGAAUGGAGGUUUUUACGUUCGAACCAUUGGUUAUAAAGUCGACGAGAAUGGUUACCGGCAAUUUUUGCUCGAUCUUACAAUUGCUAAUACAAUUACGAAGGAAGUUACAGAGUCUCCAACAGCUCCGCUAACAUAUUGUGGUGUUGAUUAUCUUUAUACGGUUGGUUUUGGUGGUACUACUACUACUAGUGCAGGGAGCUCUGCUUCUAGCUAUGGGGGAUUUGGAGGAGGUACUCAAGCUAAAACCACCAUUUCUUCUACAGUGCUUCUUACGCUUACCGGAGGUAACACACUUGGCUAACUUUUUGUACCAUUGUCCCAUUUUUACUUUUGAAAUAAAAUUCUUUUCUUUGUCAAACAUUUCAUGUUUUAAUAAAGCCGAGAUCAAAACCAAUACAGAUCAGUCUGUUUUGAAAAUAAACAGUAAUUUUAAAUACCAAUAUUGAUUCUUUAAUGCACUGAAUAAUCAUAUAAAGCAUGAAACGUCAACAACAUGCAAUUUUAAACCAAUCACAGGAUUCCGAAAGCAACUCAAGGCUGAAAUUACUAUGAAGGUCAGAAUUAUUAAGUAUUAAUAUAACAGCGUAAAUUCCCUGUUUAUCAACGACUAAAUAACUCACAAUUGAGUAAAAUCUACUUUUAUCGAGGUUUUUACUACAAUAAUGGACACCUCUAGAUAACGGACAUCUCUUCACAACGGACACUUUCGUAAGAACGUAACAAAUGCAUUGGAAAAUAAUGUAAAAAACCUCUAUACAACGGACCGUCUCUAUAGCAGACACGGAGACAAAAAAAUUCCCCAUUUACCAUAACGUUAUACAGCGUGUUAGAAAAUGGUUUAGCAAAAAUUUAAAACUAGAUAGAAAAUAGCAAGAAAAAUCGGUCUAAACUUAAACUUCCAAAUUUUGAGAACCGCUGGACUAGAAAUAUGAAAAUCGGCGUAAAUGUUAAUAUUAUUGAGAAGACAGCGGAGGUAAAUUACCUUUUUGGUCCCUACGUUAUUCUUCUAUUUUAAUUUGUAUUUUGUUAUUAAAGUUUAGAAAAAAUUUUUUUUUUGACAGGACCAGGAUUCGAACCUCUCACACAAAUGAACAUCUUAGCCAAAAUUUUAAAAAAUUCUCAAAACGCGUCAGCAUUUCCAUUUUGUUUAAUAAAAAAUAACUUCUAAUAAACUACCAAAAACUACACAGUGGCUCUCAACAGGUGGGUUAAUAAUAAUUUCUGAAGAAAGUACGCACUUUUUGGAAAAAUGAUAUAAAGGUUAAAGAAAUUCACAUACGAAAUAUUGCUAAGACAUUUCCUAACACCCUGUAUAAAUUUGCCCUUUAAACAGACAGACCGAAAGAGUGGUGGUUUAAAAAACAAACAUUUGUUUCACGAAUUAUGUAGAAACGGAUAAAAAAUUGUAUACCUACCUGAGAUCCAAAAUUAAUUAAUAUUGAUGAGUGUGUGCAAUUUUUUUUAGAAAAACGUGAUAAAAAAAUUGAUGAAGACGAUACUGAUAAAGUGGAAACUUGUACCACAGUAAACUCAAGCUGUUUGAAUAUUUGAAGCUGUUCAAAAAAAUGCUGUAAUUAUGCGUCAAAAAUUGUAAAAAAUACGGCUCCUACAAAAAUAACCAAACAAAAAUUGAAAAUUAAAAAAAAACUGUUAUCCUGAUUUAUCUCUUUCAAAAUUUGUGAUAUUAUGUUGAAGAAUUAGCAAAUCUUACCUUCUGUGGUCAGUUUGACACAUUUUUAUGUCACAUUUAAUUCAUUUGUUUUUUAAGAUAAAUUUUUUAUAAAAAAAUUGCCCACCUCCCAUUAGUGGACACCCUCCACAGCGGACUGUAUUUGAAGAAGAAUGGUUUCAAAGCUACAAUUUAUUAGUUUCACAAUAUUAUGAAUUUUCAUAAUUUGCUUUGAAAGCAGUUUAUCAUAGCGAUAUCCUCAAGAAUAAACGACACAACUCCUAAUUGUAUUUUUAUUCCCUUCUUUCCUACAUAAUGAAUCAAAUAAGAUCCAAUUAAUGCAACAACUCGACAGAACCUGUUUAGUCUUGCAUCUGAAGUGAGAUAUAGCAACAUGAAAUUGUUUUCUCUAAUUCUCGAAUUGUUUUUCAUACAUUAUGGCUUCUGUUCUGAAAAAGAAUCGGACAAGUCUUCGACCCCGAAACCGGAUGAUUUUUCCGAAGACUUGAAAGUGCUCAACGAAUCAAUAGCAAAAUAUGGAGCCCCAAAAAAUUACAAACAAUUGGGAUUCCCAGGUCCUAAAAUAUCCCUCGAUGAUGAAAAAUUCCUUUACACAAAUAAACUCGAAUACGAGGAAUCCGACAAUUAUAUUUUAAGAGUGCGCACAGUAACGCCGCAUUUUAGUUACACCGGAGUUUACGAACAGGUGAAAAUGCCUCAGACAUUCCAACAGUUUCCAGAAAUUAAAGGCCAGUUUGCUGAACACUUUGCAAGGAAAAGUGGUGGUUUUUAUAUACGGACAGUUGGUUACAAAGUCGAUCAAAAUGGCUACCAACAAUUUUUCUUAGAUCUUACUACAGCUCAAACAACCGAGCAAGAUAUUUCUAGUCCAUCGUUAAAAUUUUGUGGUGGUUAUACCAGUAAAAGUGGUGGUGUAACGGUUUAUAAUCGGGUUGAUGAUCGUUUCAGUGGUGAUAAGAUUUGGAGCCGCCCAAGUGGUAAACCCACUAUCUCUUCUACUGUUUUGAUUACGCUAACAGGAGGCAACGCACUUGGUUAAUUGAACAUCCUUUACUCCAAUAAUUUAUCAAAUAAAUUAUGAAAUUUUUCUGUUGUUAUUUAUAAACAAACAAAGUUCUGUGGUCAGUAAAUUACACGCAAGGUGACUCAAACUGAUGCAACAUUUAGCUCUAAGAAGUGUUUGAUGUGUGAAGUAAAAAUACAACAUGAGUUUGGUAAUUUUGUAAAUUUUUCAAUUUUUACUUUGUAAAAUAUAACUAUUUAUAGUUUUA